UUUGGUGGAACCACCGACUUUCGUCCUCUGAUUCCUGAAGCCUCUUCCUUAGAACUUCAGACUCCGCUUCAGCAUUCUUGACCGCCUGCUGCUCAUAGGUUAGCUGAAUUUUUAGCCGCUGCAGCUCGGCCUUCUCCUACCUGAGGGCCACGGACAGUUCUUCCAUGAUCCCCCUCAAGGAGUGGAGCUUGUUGGAGCCUU
rnacentral:lncRNA from 1 species